rnacentral:rRNA from 1 species
GACAGAGGGUGCAAACGUUGCUCGGAAUGACUGGGCGUAAAGGGCGCGUAGGCGGAUGGCUUUGUCGGGCGUGAAAUUCCAGGGCUCAACCUUGGGGCUGCGUUCGAGACGGGCGAUCUCGAGUUCGGAAGAGGGUCGUGGAAUUCCCAGUGUAGCGGUGGAAUGCGCAGAUAUCAGGAGGAACACCGGUGGCGAAGGCGGGUCUCUGGGCAGUGAACUGACGCUGAGGAGCGAAAGCGUGGGGAGCGAACAGG